GGAGUUAGCCGGUGCUUCUUCUGUGAGUGAUGUCCUUCCUGCCGGCUAUUAACCCGCAGGCCUUCUUCCUCACUGAAAGUGCUUUACAACCCGAAGGCCUUCUUCACACACGCGGCAUGGCUGGAUCAGGGUUGCCCCCCAUUGUCCAAUAUUCCCCACUGCUGCCUCCCGUAGGAGUCUGGGCCGUGUCUCAGUCCCAGUGUGGCUGAUCAUCCUCUCAGACCAGCUACGGAUCGUCGCCUUGGUGAGCCGUUACCUCACCAACCAGCUAAUCCGACAUAGGCUCAUCCGAUAGCGCGAGGCCCGAAGGUCCCCCGCUUUCCCCCGUAGGGCGUAUGCGGUAUUAGCCUGGGUUUCCCCAGGUUAUCCCCCACUACCGGGCAGAUUCCUAUGCAUUACUCACCCGUCCGCCGCUCGCCACCAGGGAGCAAGCUCCCCGUGCUGCCGCUCGACUUGCAUGUGUUAGGCCUGCCGCCAGCGUUCAAUCUGAGCCAGGAUCAAACUCUGA
rnacentral:rRNA from 1 species